rnacentral:rRNA from 1 species
AGUGAACGCUGGCGGUAGGCCUAACACAUGCAAGUCGAACGGCAGCACAGUAAGAGCUUGCUCUUACGGGUGGCGAGUGGCGGACGGGUGAGGAAUACAUCGGAAUCUACUUUUUCGUGGGGGAUAACGUAGGGAAACUUACGCUAAUACCGCACACGACCUACGGGUGAAAGCAGGGGAUCUUCGGACCUUGCGCGAUUGAAUGAGCCGAUGUCGGAUUAGCUAGUUGGCGGGGUAAAGGCCCACCAAGGCGACGAUCCGUAGCUGGUCUGAGAGAAUGAUCAGCCACACUGGAACUGAGACACGGUCCAGACUCCUACGGGAGGCAGCAGUGGGGAAUAUUGGACAAUGGGCGCAAGCCUGAUCCAGCCAUACCGCGUGGGUGAAGAAGGCCUUCGGGUUGUAAAGCCCUUUUGUUGGGAAAGAAAAGCAGCAGGUUAAUACCCCGCUGUUCUGACGGUACCCAAAGAAUAAGCACCGGCUAACUUCGUG